GACGAACGCUGGCGGCGUGCUUAACACAUGCAAGUCGAACGGAAAGGCCUGCUUUCCCUUGUGGAUUGCGGGUACUCGAGUGGCGAACGGGUGAGUAACACGUGAGUGAUCUGCCCCCAACUUGGGUAUAAGCCUGGAAAACUGGGUCUAAUUCCCGAUAGGACUGCAGGGUGGUGCCUGUGGUGGAAAACGAUUUUCUAGUGGUUGGGGAUGAGCUCGCGGCCUAUCAGCUUGUUGGUGGGGUAAUGGCCUACCAAGGCGGCGACGGGUAGCCGGCCUGGGAGGGUGGACGGCCACAUUGAGACUGGGAUACGGCCUAGACUCCUACGGGAGGCAGCAGUGGGGAAUAUUGCACCAUGGGCGGAAGCCUGAUGCAGCGACGCCGCGUGGGGGAUGACGGCCUUCGGGUUGUAAACUCCUUUCGACCGCGAGGAAGCCACCUGGUUGGAAGGGUGGUGACGGUAGUGGUAGAAGAAGCACCGGCUAACUACGUG
rnacentral:rRNA from 1 species